rnacentral:rRNA from 1 species
UACGGGGGGGGGCAAGCGUUGUUCGGAAUUACUGGGCGUAAAGGGCGCGUAGGCGGCCUGCUAAGUCGGACGUGAAAUCCCUCGGCUCAACCGGGGAACUGCGUCCGAUACUGGCGAGGCUUGAAUCCGGGAGAGGGAUGUGGAAUUCCAGGUGUAGCGGUGAAAUGCGUAGAUAUCAGGAGGAACACCGGUGGUGUAGACGGCUCUCUGGACCGUAACUGACGCUGAGACAACGAAAGCGUGGGUAGCAAACAGG